UGGGGAAUCUUAGACAAUGGGGGAAACCCUGAUCUUGCCAUGCCGCGUGUGUGACGAAGGCCCUAGGGUCGUAAAGCACUUUCGCCGGGGAAGAUAAUGACUGUACCCGGUAAAGAAGUCCCGGCUAACUCCGUGCCAGCAGCCGCGGUAAUACGGAGGGGACUAGCGUUGUUCGGAAUUACUGGGCGUAAAGCGCGCGUAGGCGGGCUGGUCAGUCAGGGGUGAAAUCCCGGGGCUCAACCCCGGAACUGCCCUUGAUACUGCCAGCCUUGAGUUCUGGAGAGGUGAGUGGAAUUCCGAGUGUAGAGGUGAAAUUCGUAGAGAUUGGGAAGAACACCAGUGGCGAAGGCGCUCGACUGGGCCGUAACUGACACUCAGGGACGAAAGCUAGGGUAGCGAAAGGGAUUAGAUACCCCUGUAGUCC
rnacentral:rRNA from 1 species